rnacentral:lncRNA from 1 species
AUGGAGCAAGUGAACAGCUACCUCUCACGUUGUGCCCUGACGACCAAAUAUAUGUCCAAAGCAGGUGAUCAGAGUUUGCAAUAUUCCUGUAUACUUUUUUUUAGAUUGAUCAUCAUAACCUCAUUAUUUGCUUUAAACAGCACGGGUGGACAUGCUUACCUUGCAUGCAAUGGGGUGGAACGAGAAAAAAAAUCUCUCUCUACAUCAGGCACUUUCCACAAGAUAUGUGAAGACAGCAGCAAGUUUCGCCAUCGCCUUCGAAGAAAGCUGGCAGAAGACAAAAAACUCCUUCUUCAGGAGAUACAGAAAUACAAUGAUCUUGUACUAGAAUCGGCAACAACCAUUGACGUAGCUGUGGUGGAGCAUUCCCUAACUGGAGAGAGUACUGUGUCUCAAAUAUGGCCGUGGGAAGUUCAUGGCAGUGCAAACAUUUCAAUCAAGAAACGAGUGCACGAUCAAGUGAUGUUAACAAGGCGACUGCAUGAGGAAACAAGAGUUUUGGUUUGGAGAUGGCACAACACUG